rnacentral:lncRNA from 1 species
GGUAGGGUUAGGGUUAGGAAAACGAGGUGUCCUGGCACGAUUCUGAUGGGUGGGAUGUGUUUAGAAUGGGCCGAAAGGAUGACCUGGGCAGAAAAAGCUACUCAAGGAAGGCUUUUUCAAAAUCACCCUCUUUUCAGUGGAGCUUUACCCCUAUAUUAGGGUUAGGGAUGUGCACCAGGGUAGGAUUAGGGUUAGGAAAACGAGGUGUCCUGGCACGAUUCUUAUGCCUGGAAUGUGUUUAGAAUGGGCAGAAAGGAUGAGCUGGGCAGAAAGAGCUACUCAAGGAAGGCUUUUUCAAAAUCACCCUCUUUUCAUGGAGCUUUACCCCUAUAUUAGGGUUAGGGGAGUGCACCAGGGUAGGGUUGGGUUAGGAAAACGAGGUGUCCUGGCAUGAUUCUGAUGGCUGGAAUGUGUUUAGAGCGGGCAAAAAGGAUGAGCUGGGCAGAAAAUCUACUCAAGGAAGGCUUUUUCAAAAUCACCCUCUUUUCAGUGGAACUUUACCCCUAUAUUAGGGUUAGGGAUGUGCACCAGGGUAGGGUUAGGGUUAGGAAAACGAGGUGUCCUGGCAUGAUUCUGAUGGCUGGAAUGUGUUUAGAGUGGGCAGAAAGGAUGAGCUGGGCAGAAAAAGCUACUCAAGGAAGGCUUUUUCAAAAUCACCCUCUUUUCAUGGAGCUUUACCCCUAUAUUAGGGUUAGGGGGGUGCACCAGGGUAGGGUUAGGGUUAGGAAAACGAGGUGUCCGGGCACGAUUCUUAUGGCUGGAAUGUGUUUAGAAUGGGCAGAAAGGAUGAGCUGGGCAGAAAAAGCUACUCAAGGAAGGCUUUUUCAAAAUCACCCUCUUUUCAAUGGGGCUUUACCCUAAAUCAGGGUUGGGGGUGUGCCCCAGGGUAGGGUUAGGGUUAGGAAAACGAGGUGUCCUGGCAUGGUUCUGAUGGCUGGAAUGUGUUUAGAGUGGGCAGAAAGGAUGAGCUGUGCAGAAAAAGCUACUCAAGGAAGGCUUUUUCAAAAUCGCACUCUUUGCAGUGGAACUU